GACAGAGGGUGCAAACGUUGUUCGGAAUUACUGGGCGUAAAGCGCGUGUAGGCGGCCAUCUAAGUCGGGCGUGAAAUCCCACGGCUCAACCGUGGAAGUGCACUCGAAACUGGAUGGCUAGAGUCCUGGAGAGGAAGGUGGAAUGCUUGGUGUAGAGGUGAAAUUCGUAGAUAUCAAGAGGAAUACCUGAGGUGAAGACGGGUUGCUAGGCCGACACUGACGCUGAAGCGCGAAAGCCAGGGGAGCAAACGGG
rnacentral:rRNA from 1 species